CAGUGACGGUCUUCACUUGCAAAUUAAAACUCAUUUAUUAAGCCUGGACAUAGUGGCACAGACCUGUAAUCCCAGAACUUUGAGGGGCUGAGGCAGAAGCAUUGCUUGUGGCCAGGAGUUCGAGACCAGCCUGGGCAGCAUAACAAGACCCUGAGACCCUGUCUCUACAAUAAAAAUAAAAAACUGGCUGGACGCGGUGGCACAUGCGAAAAUAUUAGCAACUGGGGAGGCUGAGGUGGGAGGACCCCUUGAGCUCAAUUAGAGGAUACAGUUGGGCUCUGAUCACACCACUGCUCUCCACCGUGGGCGACAGGGCGAGACCCUGUCUCUAUUAAAAAACAAAAACAAAAACAAAAACAAAAUGACUUGUUACAUGCAGAACACAACCCCCUCUCAGAUCUGGAGAUUCAGUAGGGGAACACCAUAGGCGGAGCUGAGACGCCCUCUGAGAAACAGCUCUCCAGCCCCAGCACCAUGGUCAGCGCCCGCUGCCUGAGGGGACCCAGGGCCACCAGCGGAGGCCGCCCCGGCAGUGCUGGCAACACUCGGGAGCGCUGCGCAGAGGAAGAAAGCUGCCUCGCCACACCCCAGAGGGUCAAGUCAGGCCACCACUAGCUGCCAGUGAUCUGGAAUGGAUCUGAUCCACUGCAGAAACCGGCAGGGGAGCAUGGGAAGAUGUAAGUUUUGUCUUCCAAGGAGCCCAUUCAUUUGGGGUAUCGUGAAAAGUGACUUAAGAGGAUGUGGGGGAUGGGAAUCCCUCUUCCUGCUCCACUCCCGCCCCAAGCAAAUAAACACGACCACUUUACGCAGCUUAACAGAAUGACUUUAAUGCUUCUUCAAGUUUUCCAUUUUCUUCCACAGGGUAAUAAGUUAAUGUAUGUACACGUUAUAAACACUGUGUCAGUUUACGAUGGCAGCAACGGAAGUUGUUACAAAGAAAGUGACUGCGGGGUGGAGUGUGUCUAGAAGCAUUUGCGGUGGACGAUGGAAGGGCCGGCCUCGUCGUACUCCUGCUUGGUGAUCCACAUCUGCUGGAAGAGCGUCUCCGGGCAGCGGAAGCGCUCGUUGCCGAUGGUGAUGACCUGCCCGUCUGGCAGCUCGUAGCUCUUUUCCAGGGAGGAGGAGGAGGCGCUUCUCCUUGAUGUCGCGCACGAUCUCGCGCUCAGCUGCGGAGGGCAGAAGCAGGAGAGGAGCCCUCACUCAGGGGCCGCCGCCGGCCCUCCCGCCCGGGGUGCAGGGGCGCCGCGCACCUGUGGUCACGAAGGAGUAGCCACGCUCAGUGAGGAUCUUCAUCAGGUAGUCGGUGAGAUCGCGGCCCGCCAGGUCCAGGCGCAUGAUGGCGUGCGGCAGCGCGUAGCCCUCAUAAAUGGGCACGUUGUGGGUGACGCCGUCGCCGGAGGACAGCACGGCCUGGAUGGCCACGUACAUGGCGGGCACGUUGAAGGUCUCAAACAUGAUCUGGGUCAUCUUCUCGCGGUUGGCCUUGGGAUUGAGGGGGGCCUCGGUGAGCAGGGUGUGGUGCCAGAUCUUCUCCAUGUCAUCCCAGUUGGUGAUGAUGCCGUGCUCGAUAGGGUACUUCAGGGUCAGGAUACCUCUCUUGCUCUGAGCCUCGUCGCCCACGUAGGAAUCUUUCUGACCCAUACCGACCAUGACGCCCUGGCGGUGGUCUCGUCUUCGUCGCACAUUGUGUCUAGUUUCUG
rnacentral:lncRNA from 1 species